CCUACGGGUGGCUGCAGUGGGGGAUAUUGCUCAAUGGGCGAAAGCCUGAUCCAGCGACGCCGCGUGAGGGAAGACGGCCUUCGGAUUUUAAACCUCUUUCUUUGGGGAAGAAAAUGACGGUACCCAAAGAGGAAGCUCCGGCUAACUACGUGACAGCAGCCGCGGUAAUACGUAGGGAGCAGGCGUUGUCCGGAUUUACUGGGUGUAAGGGGAGCGUAGGCGGUAUGGCAAGUAGAAUGUUAAAUCCAUCGGCUCAACCGGUGGCUGCGUUCUAAACUGCCGUUCUUGAGUGCAGUAGAGGCAGGCGGAAUUCCUAGUGUAGCGGUGAAAUGCGUAGAUAUUAGGAGGAACACCAGUUGCGAAGGCGGCCUGCUGGGCUUUAACUGACGCUGAGGCUCGAAAGCGUGGGGAGCAAACAGGAUUAGAUACCCUUGUAGUC
rnacentral:rRNA from 1 species